UACGGAGGAUGCAAGCGUUAUCCGGAAUGAUUGGGCGUAAAGCGUCUGUAGGUGGUUUAUUAAGUCUACUGUUAAAGCUCAGGGCUUAACCCUGAAUAGGCAGUAGAAACUAAUAAGCUUGAGUACGGUAGGGGCAGAGGGAAUUCCCGGUGUAGCGGUGAAAUGCGUAGAGAUCGGGAAGAACACCGAUGGCGAAAGCAGUCUGCUGGGCCGAAACUGACGCUCAGAGACGAAAGCUAGGGGAGCGAAUGGG
rnacentral:rRNA from 1 species